GUGUGCCAGAUGUUUACGGUGUUUCCUCCCUGUGUGUCAGAGUCCAGAUGUUUAUGGUGUUUCCUCCCUGUGUGCCAGAUGUUUACGGUGUUUCCUCCCUGUGUGUCAGAGUCCAGAUGUUUAUGGUGUUUCCUCCCUGUGUGCCAGAUGUUUACGGUGUUUCCGCCCUGUGUGCCAGAUGUUUACGGUGUUUCCUCCCUGUGUUCCAGAUGUUUAUGGUGUUUCCUCCCUGUGUGCCAGAUGUUUACGGUGUUUCCUCCCUGUGUUCCAGAUGUUUAUGGUGUUUCCUCCCUGUGUGCCAGAUGUUUACGGUGUUUCCUCCCUGUGUGUCAGAGUCCAGAUGUUUACGUGUUUCCUCCCUGUGUGCCAGAUGUUUACGGUGUUUCCUCCCUGUG